AAGCUUGUUAAUUUGAACCUCCAAGGGGACUGGAAGUUUAUUCGAAUAAAACGUUAAACCAAGGAAAGCCCCUUUAAAUAUAGCGCCUGAUCAAUUGUGCAGUACAGCGCACAAAACUAAAACUGUCACUGGGUUUGCAUUGCAGAAGUCCCGU
rnacentral:lncRNA from 1 species